rnacentral:lncRNA from 1 species
GUAGCUACAGGAUACCUGGUGCUUAGGCCCCUUAAGGACUCCACUCCUGAGCAAGGUCAUAAAUUCUAGCACUUUACAUACCGAAGCUUAGGAAGACAGAAUAUCAGAUCAAGAUUCUCUCUCUAGCAGAGAUUGGAGAUUCCUGAGUGAGAAGAGGCCAUAGGAUACUUUGAAGGCUGAAUUGAUCCAUUAGCCUGUGGUGCUACAAGCCUGGGCCGCAAUAAUGCUGUAUCCCUCCAGAGGCCUGGCGUGAAAUCAAAUAGGAGGAAUUUAAUCUCACCACCCUCUCGGCCCUCUGAAAGAGUUGGAACUCCAGAGAGUUACUUCAAGUGACCCUUCUGCUGUAAAGAAUGCAGGAAGACAUUUGAAGAACAUGUGGCUCAGAAACACAUUUAGAACUAUCACCUGUUAGUACCUUCAUCUGUCUACAUGAGACAAGCUUCAAGCCUCACCAUCUGGUCAACACGACUAAAUUCUGCUACCAUUGACCCCAAACUCUGUUAAAAGGUGCCAUGUUUGGAAAAAGACCUCCAGCAAUGCCUCUCUGCCAAUUUCUUCAAUUAAUCAAAUGUUUAUCAGUCAUUU